UACAGAGGAGCCAAGCGUUGUUCGGAUUUAUUGGGCGUAAAGGGUGCGUAGGCGGCAUCUUAAGUCUGGUGUGAAAGGCGCGGGCUCAACCUGCGGACUGCAUUGGAUACUGGGAUGCUGGAGGACUGGAGAGGAGAAUGGAAUUCACGGUGGAGCAGUGAAAUGCGUAGAUAUCGUGAGGAAGGCCAGUGGCGAAGGCGAUUCUCUGGACAGUACCUGACGCUGAGGCACGAAGGCUGGGGGAGCGAACAGG
rnacentral:rRNA from 1 species